rnacentral:rRNA from 1 species
CCUACGGGCGGCAGCAGUAGGGAAUAUUGCUCAAUGGGGGAAACCCUGAAGCAGCAACGCCGCGUGGAGGAUGAAGGUUUUCGGAUUGUAAACUCCUUUUGUUAGAGAAGAUAAUGACGGUAUCUAACGAAUAAGCACCGGCUAACUCCGUGCCAGCAGCCGCGGUAAUACGGAGGGUGCAAGCGUUACUCGGAAUCACUGGGCGUAAAGAGCGCGUAGGCGGGAUAGAAAGUCAGAUGUGAAAUCCUAUGGCUUAACAAAGGAACUGCAUUUGAAACGUUUAUUCUAGAGUAUGGGAGAGUUAGGGGGAAUUUUUGGUGAAGGGGUAAAACCCG